GGACGGGUGAGUAACGCGUGAGAAUCUAGCUUCAGGUUCGGGACAACCACUGGAAACGGUGGCUAAUACCGAAUGUGCCGAGAGGUGAAAGGCUUGCUGCCUGAAGAUGAGCUCGCGUCUGAUUAGCUAGUAGGUGUGGUAAUAGCGCACCUAGGCGACGAUCAGUAGCUGGUCUGAGAGGAUGAUCAGCCACACUGGGACUGAGACACGGCCCAGACUCCUACGGGAGGCAGCAGUGGGGAAUUUUCCGCAAUGGGCGAAAGCCUGACGGAGCAAUACCGCGUGAGGGAGGAAGGCUCUUGGGUCGUAAACCUCUUUUCUCAGGGAAGAACACAAUGACGGUACCUGAGGAAUAAGCAUCGGCUAACUCCGUGCCAGCAGCCGCGGUAAUACGGAGGAUGCAAGCGUUAUCCGGAAUGAUUGGGCGUAAAGCGUCCGCAGGUGGCGAUGUAAGUCUGCUGUUAAAGAGUGAGGCUCAACCUCAUAAGAGCAGUGGAAACUACAUUGCUAGAGUGCGUUCGGGGCAGAGGGAAUUCCUGGUGUAGCGGUGAAAUGCGUAGAGAUCAGGAAGAACACCGGUGGCGAAAGCGCUCUGCUAGGCCGCAACUGACACUGAGGGGACGAAAAG
rnacentral:rRNA from 1 species